GACGCCCCUCCAGGAGGAAGUCAGUCAAUCUCCACACCCACACUAUCCUUCCGCAUAGGAAGAAGAUAUGAUCAACAGACUCCACCUCGCAGUAGGCGCAUAUCGAUGGGUUGCUUAGCCUGCGCCUACUCAGGACAGCCUUGGUCGGAAGUCAUCCGCACGUCAUCUUCCAUAAGAACAAGGCUACUCUUAGAUGAAGACCAAUCCUCCAAAUCUAGGCACAAUCCCAUUUCCGAGUCUUCUCAUCUCUAAAGAGGCUACAAAGAUUUCUCGCUCUGACCCUCGGGCUACAAGUAGAACUCCAGACCCUCACGUUAGAAGCACUACACCCCGGAACCGCAACAGAUUGCACUCUCUCCGCCAAGUGCUCCCCGAAGAAAUGGCCAAUCUGGUCAGUGUUCCAACCCCUCUCCUCAA
rnacentral:lncRNA from 1 species